rnacentral:rRNA from 1 species
AUGCACGCUGGCGGCGUGCCUAAUACAUGCAAGUCGAGCGAACAGACGAGGAGCUUGCUCCUCUGACGUUAGCGGCGGACGGGUGAGUAACACGUGGAUAACCUACCUAUAAGACUGGGAUAACUUCGGGAAACCGGAGCUAAUACCGGAUAAUAUAUUGAACCGCAUGGUUCAAUAGUGAAAGACGGUUUUGCUGUCACUUAUAGAUGGAUCCGCGCCGCAUUAGCUAGUUGGUAAGGUAACGGCUUACCAAGGCGACGAUGCGUAGCCGACCUGAGAGGGUGAUCGGCAACACUGGAACUGAGACACGGUCCAGACUCCUACGGGAGGCAGCAGUAGGGAAUCUUCCGCAAUGGGCGAAAGCCUGACGGAGCAACGCCGCGUGAGUGAUGAAGGUCUUCGGAUCGUAAAACUCUGUUAUUAGGGAAGAACAAAUGUGUAAGUAACUAUGCACGUCUUGACGGUACCUAAUCAGAAAGCCACGGCUAACUACGUG